GCCGAAGUGGUGGAAUUGGUAGACACGCUACCUUGAGGGGGUAGUGAGCAUUGCUCGUGGAGGUUCGAAUCCUCUCUUCGGCACCA
rnacentral:tRNA from 1 species